rnacentral:misc_RNA from 1 species
GAGCGUGUGCACGAGUGA